UUUCUGAAAAAUGUCAAUUAAAGAAAAGAUAUCUGUCAAUUUAUAAAUAUUAUACACUAUAUUUAUUUUUUUAAAUUUUUAGAAAAUUCAUUUACAUAAUGGGAUUUAGAUUUUCACAGACCUUUUGAAUAAAGAAUCCCUUUUAUGAUAAGAUAAUCCUACUCAAUUAACAAUAUAAAGAAACAUUUUUGGAUUUUAAAAAGAUAAAUAAAUAUAAUAAAGAAUGAAGCUAUUUUUAUUUAAUCUUAAUAUGUAUACUUAAUAAGUUAUCUGGGUUUUGAACCAUGGCAAUUAUUUUUGCUAAUAAUUUUUUAAAUAAUCAUUUUCAAUGGGGUAAAUAUUACCACAUUUUUGUGAGGCAAUCAGGUUGGACCCAUAAUUGAUUUCUAUUUAUGAUAAAUGAUUCUUUGAGGUAAGUGUAAAUUAUAUACAAAAUUAUAAGUGAGAGGUGAAAACCAUUGUGUGAUAAAAAAUUUGUUAAAAGAAUUGAUAAAUUUUUUAUUUCAUUAUUAGAUAAAUUUUAUAUAACAUCAAAUUUUCCAUAAUAUAUUUGGCCUUUUUUCUAAAUAUUUAUAGAAAUCUUGGGAGAAUGAACAGAUAAUCUAUUCCUCUCAUUUGAUUAUUGAUUUAAGAAAAGAUUUCAAUUAAAUGAAUUGACAAAGUGAUUCCAUAUACUGAAAUAUUGUUUAUUUUUGUUAACAAUAAAUUAAAUUUUUGGAUAUGGCUUGGGAAUAAUCUUUGAAACCUAUGAUGUGGUUUGGGUUUGGAUUUCCAUUAAACAUGAACUGGGCCUGAAAAUUAUUUUUACUUAUGACCUAGGCUGGAUGAAGAAAUCAAUGCCAGUGAAGGUCUCUAAUUUCAAUGAUUAAAAUAUAUCAUUUCUCAGACUUUAUUUGAAGAUAAAUGAAUGGGCAAAUCACAAAUAUGCCUGUUUUCAAUUAUUUGCAAAAUUUAUUAGGAUUGUUAAUUUAAAGAAACUAUGAUUUCAAAGCAUCAUACAUUUCUAAAAAUUGUUGGACACUAAGAAAUAAAGAAAUCAAUUGUGAAGUGUAUAAUGGAGGAAAUAUUGAUCCAUGAUUGUUUUGGCAUAAAUAACAAAAAAUAUUAUAUUUUUUGUGACCAUGCAUUAAG